rnacentral:rRNA from 1 species
UACGUAGGGGGCAAGCGUUGUCCGGAUUUAUUGGGCGUAAAGAGCGUGUAGGCGGCCAUACAGGUCCGUUGUGAAAACUGGAGGCUUAACCUCCAGACGUCGAUGGAAACCGUAUGGCUAGAGUCCGGAAGAGGAGAGUGGAAUUCCUGGUGUAGCGGUGAAAUGCGUAGAGAUCAUGAGGAAGACCAGUGGCGAAGGCGGGUCUCUGGACAGUUCCUGACACUGAGACACGAAAGGCCAGGGGGAGCAAAACGGGG